rnacentral:rRNA from 2 species
UUUGUCGACACUAGGCGAGACAUCGUCGCCGUCGUCGAACACGGCAGUUAAGCUCUCCAGCGCCGAUGGUACUGCGGAUAUCCGUGGAAGAGUAGGUCGUUGCCAGGA